rnacentral:rRNA from 1 species
UACGGAGGGUGCAAGCGUUAUCCGGAUUUAUUGGGUUUAAAGGGUGCGUAGGCGGCCUUGUAAGUCAGUGGUGAAAGCCUCCAGCUCAACUGGAGAACUGCCAUUGAUACUGCAAGGCUUGAGUACAGACGAGGUUGGCGGAAUUGAUUGUGUAGCGGUGAAAUGCAUAGAUACAAUCAAGAACUCCGAUUGCGUAGGCAGCUAACUAGGCUGUAACUGACGCUGAGGCACGAAAGCGUGGGGAGCGAACAGG